CCCGCAUCGCGGCCACGCACCUGCACAGCUUCUUCAGUCGGCAAUCAACGUGCCUGGGUCUGAUGAGGGCAGAAGGAAUAAAGACCAGUGGACCCGAAAAUCCAGUGCCGGAACAUAGUUCACUCUCCGUAUGUUCCCUUUGUUUCCCGUGAUCAAGCUGUGUGCCUCGACUUCCCACCUGAAUCUGGGCUGCCUCCCUCGAUCCUCGACCCCCGCCUGGACACGGACUGCCUUCUCACCUUACCCCUUUAUUCUGAUGAAGGAUUCAUCCAGCACUAUAUAAAACAAACUCUGGUAAGGAGCGCUACUGCCUACUGGCGCUGACGAGACGAGACGCGCGGCCGCCAUCUUGGAGUGGGUCGCGGGGGGCGCUGGUGCCUAUCUCAGCUACAAUCGGGCGGAAGGCAUUGUACAUCCUGGACAAGUUGCACCUCAUUGCAGGGCCAACACAGAUAUACAGACAACAUUCCCACUCACAUUUACACACUAGGGACCAUUUAGUGUUGCCAAUCAACCUAUCUCCAGGUGCAUGUCUUUGGAAGUGGGAGGAAGCCGGAGUACCCGGAGGGAACCCACGCAGUCACGGGGAGGACAUGCAAACUCCACACAGAAAGAUCCCAAGCCCGGGAUUGAACCCUGACAACUCAGGACCUUCGUAUUGUGAGGCAGACGCACUAACCCCUCUUCCACCGUGAAGCCCAUAGAAAAUGUAAAAUGAAUAAAUACAUAAAGAGAAAAAUAAAAAAAAAUGUUUUAAA